UGGAGUUCCUUUCACAGAGCACAUCUUCAC
rnacentral:piRNA from 1 species